AUUUCAAUGUGGCAAUUUGUUUGCAGAAUUUUAAUAAUUUAAAGCUGUUUUGGUUGCUUAAUAUUAUGUUAGUGUAAAUUUUAAUAAACUAAACUUAGAAUUUAAACAACUUGUUAGAGUACUUCAUAGUUUAUAACACAAAUCAUUUUAUCUUCUUAGAUUUAGUUCUACUGGCUUUUGGCUUGUAAUUGUACAACUACAUUGGGUGGAAUUAGUUGUGAAAUCCCAUCUGCUCUCUGUUUAUGGAGUUUCUUUUACUAGACAGAAAU
rnacentral:misc_RNA from 1 species